CACGUAGGGGCCAAGCGUUGUCCGGAUUUAUUGGGCGUAAAGAGCUCGUAGGCGGCUCGGUAAGUUGGGUGUGAAACCUCCAGGCUCAACCUGGAGACGCCACCCGAUACUGCUGUGGCUAGAGUCCGGUAAGGGAGCGUGGAAUUCCUGGUGUAGCGGUGAAAUGCGUAGAUAUCGGGAGGAACACCAGUGGCGAAGGCGAUCAUCUGGGGUGUUCUGACACUGAGGAGCGAAAGCUAGGGGAGCAAACGGG
rnacentral:rRNA from 1 species